AGUGAACGCUGGCGGUAGGCCUAACACAUGCAAGUCGAACGGCAGCACAGUAAGAGCUUGCUCUUACGGGUGGCGAGUGGCGGACGGGUGAGGAAUACAUCGGCAUCUACUUUUUCGUGGGGGAUAACGUAGGGACACUUACGCUAAUACCGCAUACGACCUACGGGUGAAAGCAGGGGAUCUUCGGACCUUGCGCGAUUGAAUGAGCCGAUGUCGGAUUAGCUAGUUGGCGGGGUAAAGGCCCACCAAGGCGACGAUCCGUAGCUGGUCUGAGAGGAUGAUCAGCCACACUGGAACUGAGACACGGUCCAGACUCCUACGGGAGGCAGCAGUGGGGAAUAUUGGACAAUGGGCGCAAGCCUGAUCCAGCCAUACCGCGUGGGUGAAGAAGGCCUUCGGGUUGUAAAGCCCUUUUGUUGGGAAAGAAAAGCAGCAGGUGAAUACCCCGCUGUUCUGACGGUACCCAAAGAAUAAGCACCGGCUAACUUCGUG
rnacentral:rRNA from 1 species